UUAAAAAGCUCGUAGUUGAAUGUUUAAGGGAGUCAUUUCGUGUGGUAUUAAUGAACUACAAAGGAAGAUGGUUUAUCUUAUUAUAUGCUUUUCCCACCGUUGGAAUUCGUUUUUUUGACAGUGAAAUAGAUAUGUGUUUACUUUGAGAAAAUUAAGAGUGUUCUAAGCAGUCUUAUGGCUUUAUCCUAAGGCGUGGAAUGAUAAGUAAUGACAUUGGUCAAUAUCUGUUGGUUUGAAAGGUUGAUGUAAUGAUUUAUAGAGUUUGUCGGAGGCAUUAGUAUUUUGUCGUUAGAGGUGAAAUUCUGGGAUCGACAAAAGACUAACAACCGCGUAAGCAUUUGCCUAGGAUGUGCUCCUUGAUCAAGAACGUAAGUUGGGGGAUCGAAGACGAUCAGAUACCGUCGUAGUCUCAACUUUAAACUAUAUCAGCUAGGGGCUGGCAAAUGUUUUUAUGACUUUGUUAGAACCCUUACAAGAAAUCAAAGCGUUUGGAUUCCCGGGGGGAGUAUGGUCGCAA
rnacentral:rRNA from 1 species